GAUUUACUUCGGUAAUGACGUUGGGAAAGCCAUUGACGGAUGGGUGAGUAACACGUGGGGAACCUGCCCCUAAGUCUGGGAUACCAUUUGGAAACAGGUGCUAAUACCGGAUAAUAAAGCAGAUCGCAUGAUCAGCUUUUGAAAGGCGGCGUAAGCUGUCGCUAAGGGAUGGCCCCGCGGUGCAUUAGCUAGUUGGUAAGGUAACGGCUUACCAAGGCGACGAUGCAUAGCCGAGUUGAGAGACUGAUCGGCCACAUUGGGACUGAGACACGGCCCAAACUCCUACGGGAGGCAGCAGUAGGGAAUCUUCCACAAUGGACGCAAGUCUGAUGGAGCAACGCCGCGUGAGUGAAGAAGGUUUUCGGAUCGUAAAGCUCUGUUGUUGGUGAAGAAGGAUAGAGGUAGUAACUGGCCUUUAUUUGACGGUAAUCAACCAGAAAGUCACGGCUAACUACGUGCCAGCAGCCGCGGUAAUACGUAGGUGGCAAGCGUUGUCCGGAUUUAUUGGGCGUAAAGCGAGCGCAGGCGGAAAAAUAAGUCUAAUGUGAAAGCCCUCGGCUUAACCGAGGAACUGCAUCGGAAACUGUUUUUCUUGAGUGCAGAAGAGGAGAGUGGAACUCCAUGUGUAGCGGUGGAAUGCGUAGAUAUAUGGAAGAACA
rnacentral:rRNA from 1 species